GGGGGCCCAGCGCGCAGGCGCGGCGGACCGGCGGGGCGGGGUGGACCCCGCUGCGCAGACGCGGGCGCGUGUUCUGGCGGUUUUCACUGUUCAGCCAAGAAGCAGCAGCUCAGUCCUUCGGGUGAAAGAUGAUGGAAGCCAAGUGGCACCUGUUCUGGACAUACAGGAAAUGGGACAGAUACCAACAAUAUGGGAUGGCAGACAAUGUGUGCAAGUGCUCUGACAGCAGGGAGGUAUGACUGGCCCUACCUUUGGGAGACUUUCCUUCCAGGUGGUCCAAACUAAGACUGAGAAUCUGGAAAUACUGCUGUGAAGCAGAAGAAACUUGAUUGAGUGAAAGCUGGAGCUGUGCCAGGUGUGGAGAAGGAGUGCACGGUAAAGUGUACCUUGUGAGCACAUAGUGAGUAAGCAGUUGGGGAAGCAAGGGAGUGAGAAGAUGACCAAGAGCUUUUCACGGGUCAGGAAGGGCUUAGGGGAAGCCAGGUUAAAAGAACUGGAGGAAAAGAACAAAGGAUCAGGCACAGGUCUGCUCAAAGCCUUGGUGCUUGGGAGCGUCUAGCCCUCAGUGAGCUUGGGCAUGAACAGACAGGGAGUUAUCUGUGAAACAGGUCUGUAUCUCUUGUCCACACAGAAUUCCAAAAUAUAGAUCAACUCUUUUUGUUCAUGACUCAAUUAUGACAACUUUUUCACUAUACUUCUAUAAUACAAAUCAUAGAUGUAGCCAAGAAACCAAGAUUGGGGACACAUCAUGACCUCUGAACAACUACAAGGAACUUACCCCCAGAAUGGGGAUUUGGAGUAGUGACAUUCUCAAGCAGUCCAGCCCUGCCAUUCCAGAGAAGGCCCAAGCCCACACAAAUCAUAUAUUUGGGGUAAUACACCAAGCCCCAAGCCAGACAUACUAAUAAAGAGGCUUAGCCAAUUACACUUCAUGUUUCUGUCCAUCCACAUAUUCCCUGCCCUCCAACAGUUCUCCACAGGCCAAGAACAUCCAAGUCUUCCAGCCCCCAAAGUCUCCCUUUAGCUUGGCAGGUAAGAGUGCUUGCUUUGGAACCAAAAGGGCUCGGUUGAGAUUCUGGCUUAUGAGUAUGACUUUGGGCAAGUUAUCUCCAUCUUUGUGCCUCAGUGUGCUCAUUUGUAGAAAGAAGAUUAUAAUAAUUUUCUGAGGAAUAGGGGCGCCUGGGUGGCUCAGUGAGUUAAAGCCUCUGCCUUCGGCUCAGGUCAUGAUCUCAGGGUCCUGGGAUUGAGCCCCGCAUUUCGCUCUCUGCUCAGCAGGGAGCCUGCUUCCCACCCCCCAUCUGCCUGUCUACCUACUUGUGAUCUCUGUCUGUCAAAAUAAAUAAAUAAAAUCUUUAAAAAAAAUUUUUUUUCCUGAGGAAUUAAUUUAAACAGUGUGUGUAACAAAGUGAAGAAACCUAGCAGAUACUAUCUCAACCAAGUGAUUAAAGUUAACGUCACCAAUAAUGAACCAUCACAGAUUCCUAACACAAUGCACUGAGAAGUGCACAACAUCACUUCUGUGGUAUUGCCCAAAAUAUCAACCUGAAUUGAAUCAUGAAGACACAUCAGACGAACCCACAUUGAGAGAUACUCUACAAAGUAACUGGCACAUACUCUUCAAAAAUGGCACUUAUCUUUGUGUGUUGUAUAAGAGAAUAGUCCAGUUUCAUUCUUCUGCAUGUGGCUGUCCAAUUUUCCCAGCACCAUUUAUUGAAGAAACUGUCUUUUUUCCAUUGGAUACUUUUUCCUGCUUUUUUGAAGUUUAGUUGACCGUAAAGUUGAGGGUCCAUUUCUGGAGUCUCCAUUCUGUUUUCACUAAUCUAUGUGUCUGUUUUUGUGCCAAUACCAUACUGUUUUGAUGAUCACAGUUUUGUAAUAUAGCUUGAUAUCGGGUAAUGCAAUAUCCCCAGCUUCAGCUUUGUUUUUAUUUUUCAGCAUUCCUCUGGUGAUUUGGGUCUUUUCUGGUUCCAUACAAAUUUUAGGAUUAUAUGUUCCAGCUCUGUAAAAAAAAAAAAAAAAAAAAAAAGUCAAUGGUAUUUUAAUAGGAAUGGCACUGAAAAUGUAGAUUCCUCUGGGCACCAUAGAUAUUUUAACAGUGUUUAUUCUUCUAAUCCAUAAGCAUGGAAUGUUUUCCAUAUCAUUGUGUCUUAUACACACUACUGAAUCACUGAAAACUACAUAAAAAACUAAUGAUGUACAAUAUGUUGGCUAACUGAACAUAACAAAAAUCAAUAAACAAAAAUAAAAUGGAAUGGGAUUUUAAAAAUGACAAUGUUAUGAAAUAUAAAGAAAGGCUAAGGGACUAUUAUAGAUUGAAAAAGACUGGCAGAACAGACACAUGAGAAAAUGCUCCACAUCAUUUGUCAUCAGGGAAAUAUAAAUCAAAACCACAAUAAGAUACCACCUUACACCAGUUAGGCUAAAAUUAACAAAACAAGGAAAAACAAAUAUUGGCAAGGAUGUGGAGAAAGGGGAAUCCUCUUACACUGUUGGUGGGAAUGCAAGUUGGUACAGCCACUACAUCAAAAACUAAUGACGCACUAUAUGUUGGCUAUUUGAAUUUAAAUUUAAAAAGGAAAGAAAAAGACAGGCAGAGACAACUAAAUUCAGUACAUGAUCCAGGAUUGUACCCUGGACCAAAAAGGAAGAAAGGCGAAGGAAAGAAUUUUUAUUUUGUUUUCUUUUGCUAUAACAGACUCUAUUGGUGCAAUUGGUGAAACUUGGUGUGUGUGGAUUCCUGGUAGUGUUUAUUGCAUAAAUAACUCGUGGCUAAUUUAGGUGAGUGCACUGCCUAUGUAGGAGAGUGCUGUAGUACAAGCCUUAGUAAGAAGAACUAA